rnacentral:rRNA from 1 species
GAUGAACGCUGGCGGCGUGCCUAAUACAUGCAAGUCGAGCGAACGGACGAGAAGCUUGCUUCUCUGAUGUUAGCGGCGGACGGGUGAGUAACACGUGGAUAACCUACCUAUAAGACUGGGAUAACUUCGGGAAACCGGAGCUAAUACCGGAUAAUAUUUUGAACCGCAUGAUUCAAAAGUGAAAGACGGUCUUGCUGUCACUUAUAGAUGGAUCCGCGCUGCAUUAGCUAGUUGGUAAGGUAACGGCUUACCAAGGCAACGAUGCAUAGCCGACCUGAGAGGGUGAUCGGCCACACUGGAACUGAGACACGGUCCAGACUCCUACGGGAGGCAGCAGUAGGGAAUCUUCCGCAAAGGGCGAAAGCCUGACGGAGCAACGCCGCGUGAGUGAUGAAGGUCUUCGGAUCGUAAAACUCUGUUAUUAGGGAAGAACAUAUGUGUAAGUAACUGUGCACAUCUUGACGGUACCUAAUCAGAAAGCCACGGCUAACUACGUG